rnacentral:rRNA from 1 species
UACGUAGGGUGCAGGCGUUAAUCGGAAUUACUGGGCGUAAAGCGUGCGCAGGCGGUCUCUUAAGACAGGUGUGAAAUCCCCGGGCUUAACCUGGGAACUGCGCUUGUAACUGAGAGGCUAGAGUGUGGCAGAGGGGGGUGGAAUUCCACGUGUAGCAGUGAAAUGCGUAGAUAUGUGGAGGAACACCGAUGGCGAAGGCAGCCCCCUGGGCUAACACUGACGCUCAUGCACGAAAGCGUGGGGAGCAAACAGG